UACGUAGGGGGCAAGCGUUGUUCGGAAUUACUGGGCGUAAAGGGCGCGUAGGCGGCAUGGCAAGUCAGGAGUGAAAGGCCUGGGCUCAACCGAGGAACUGCUUUUGAUACUGCCAAGCUAGAGUGCGGAAGGGGCAACUGGAAUUCCCAGUGUAGCGGUGAAAUGACGUAGAUAUUGGGAAGAACACCUGAGGCGAAGGCGGGUUGCUGGGCCGACACUGACGCUGAGGCGCGAAAAGCCAGGGGAGCAAACAGG
rnacentral:rRNA from 1 species